GUCGAGCAGGGUCGAAAGACGGACUUAGUGAUCCGGUGGUUCCGCAUGGAAGGGCCAUCGCUCAACGGAUAAAAGCUACCCCGGGGAUAACAGGCUUAUCUCCCCCAAGAGUUCACAUCGACGGGGAGGUUUGGCACCUCGAUGUCGGCUCAUCGCAUCCUGGGGCUGUAGUCGGUCCCAAGGGUUGGGCUGUUCGCCCAUUAAAGCGGUACGCGAGCUGGGUUCAGAACGUCGUGAGACAGUUCGGUCCCUAUCCGUCGUGGGCGUAGGAAAUUUGAGAGGAGCUGUCCUUAGUACGAGAGGACCGGGAUGGACAUACCUCUGGUGUACCAGUUGUCGUGCCAACGGCAUAGCUGGGUAGCUAUGUGUGGACGGGAUAAGUGCUGAAAGCAUCUAAGCAUGAAGCCCCCCUCAAGAUGAGAUUUCCCAACUUCGGUUAUAAGAUCCCUCAAAGAUGAUGAGGUUAAUAGGUUCGAGGUGGAAGCAUGGUGACAUGUGGAGCUGACGAAUACUAAUCGAUCGAAGACUUAAUCAA
rnacentral:rRNA from 1 species